UGGGGAAUAUUGCACAAUGGGGGAAACCCUGAUGCAGCGACGCCGCGUGAGCGAAGAAGGCUUUCGAAUCGUAAAGCUCUGUCCUAUGAGAAGAUAAUGACGGUAUCAUAGGAGGAAGCCCCGGCUAAAUACGUGCCAGCAGCCGCGGUAAUACGUAUGGGGCGAGCGUUGUCCGGAAUUAUUGGGCGUAAAGGGUACGUAGGCGGUCUAUUAAGUCAGGUGUGAAAGCGUGAGGCUUAACCUCAUUAAGCACUUGAAACUGAUAGACUUGAGUGAAGGGGAGGAAAGGGGAAUUCCUAGUGUAGCGGUGAAAUGCGUAGAUAUUAGGAGGAAUACCGGUGGCGAAGGCGACUUUCUGGACUUUUACUGACGCUCAGGUACGAAAGCGUGGGGAGCAAACAGG
rnacentral:rRNA from 1 species